rnacentral:misc_RNA from 1 species
UAGGGAUAUAGCAGAAGAAAAAUCAGCUAAAACAGCAAUCUUCAUUUUACGCAAGUUGAAGUACAAAAACAGCCAUGCCAACAGGUACAACUAAAGGAUAAAGUAGCCAUUUGCCCCCUUCUAAUUUAUCAUCAACAGGUAAAUAACCUCAAAUUUAACUUUGUGGGCAAUUAAGUCCCAAAAAUACACACCCAAUUCAGUCAUAAUUAUGACAUAAUCACCAACAAUAUGGCACUGGCUGCAUCACCUAGGUACUGAAUCACCACCCUUAUUAUAUUGGUUAAAAUCCCCCAAUAAAAUAAAAUACAAGCUAAUUCCUAAAUGCUAAGGAAUAGCAAAUUCCGCACAAAUUGCUAAAAAGAGAAGCAAGAAAUAGCAUAGUAGAAAUUAAAACCUUGACUUUGGAAAGAACAAGAG